rnacentral:rRNA from 1 species
GAUGAACGCUGACAGAAUGCUUAACACAUGCAAGUCAACUGUGGCGGACGGGUGAGUAACGCGUAAAGAACUUGCCUCACAGAUAGGGACAACAUUUGGAAACGAAUGCUAAUACCUGCUACUGGGAGAGAGCUUUGCGUCCCAUUAGCUAGUUGGAGAGGUAACGGCUCACCAAGGCGAGGAUUGGUAGCCGGCCUGAGAGGGUGAUCGGCCACAAGGGGACUGAGACGCGGCCCUUACGCCUUCGGGAGGCAGCAGUGGGGGAUAUAUGACAAUGGACCAAAGUCUGAUCCAGCAAUUCUGUUUGCACGAUGAAGUUUUCGGAAUGUAAAGUGCUUUCAGUUGGGAAGCGGUACCAACAGAAGAAGUGACGGCUAAAUACGUGCCAGCAGCCGCGGUAAUAC